CCCCUAGUAACGGCGAGUGAAGAGGGAAGAGCUCAAAUUUGAAAGCUGGUACCUUCGGUAUCCGCGUUGUAACCUCGAGACACGUUUUCCGUGCGGCGCUAUGGACAAGUUCCUUGGAACAGGACAUCGUAGAGGGUGAAAAUCCCGUACUUGCCAUGGAUGUACCGUGCUUUGCGAUACGUGCUCUAAGAGUCGAGUUGUUUGGGAUUGCAGCUCAAAAUGGGUGGUAGACUCCAUCUAAAGCUAAAUAUCGGGGAGAGACCGAUAGCGAACAAGUACCGUGAGGGAAAGAUGAAAAGCACUUUGGAAAGAGAGUUAAAAGUACGUGAAAUUGUCGAAAGGGAAGCGCUUGAAGUCAGCCAUGCCGCUCAGGACUCAGCCUGGCUUUUGCUUGGUGUAUUUCCUGGGUAGCAAGUCAGCAUUGGUUUGGAUCGUCGGAGAAGCAUAGUCGGAAUGUGGCGCCCUCGGGCGUGUUAUAGCCUUCUAUUGGAUACGACGAUCUAGACCAAGGAACGCAGCGCGCCUUAUGGCGGGUCUUCGGACACCUUCGCGUCUUAG
rnacentral:rRNA from 1 species